rnacentral:rRNA from 1 species
GGGGUAACGGCCUACCAAGGCGACGAUACGUAGCCGACCUGAGAGGGUGAUCGGCCACACUGGAACUGAGACACGGUCCAGACUCCUACGGGAGGCAGCAGUAGGGAAUCUUCCGCAAUGGGCGAAAGCCUGACGGAGCAACGCCGCGUGAGUGAUGAAGGUCUUCGGAUCGUAAAGCUCUGUUGUUAGGGAAGAACAAAUGUGUAAGUAACUGUGCACAUCUUGACGGUACCUAACCAGAAAGCCACGGCUAACUACGUGCCAGCAGCCGCGGUAAUACGUAGGUGGCAAGCGUUAUCCGGAAUUAUUGGGCGUAAAGCGCGCGUAGGCGGUUUUUUAAGUCUGAUGUGAAAGCCCACGGCUCAACCGUGGAGGGUCAUUGGAAACUGGAAAACUUGAGUGCAGAAGAGGAAAGUGGAAUUCCAUGUGUAGCGGUGAAAUGCGCAGAGAUAUGGAGGAACACCAGUGGCGAAGGCGGCUUUCUGGUCUGCAACUGACGCUGAUGUGCGAAAGCGUGGGGAUCAAACAGGAUUAGAUACCCUGGUAGUCCACGCCGUAAACGAUGAGUGCUAAGUGUUAGGGGGUUUCCGCCCCUUAGUGCUGCAGCUAACGC